AUCAUAGAAUCGUUAACGUUGGAAAAGACCUCUUGGAUCCCCAAUCCCAGCCCACCCCCACCACGCCCUCAUCCCUCAGUGCCACAUCCCCAUGGCUCUGGAACACCUCCAGGGACAGUGACCCUGGAUUUCCUCCUCUGGAAGGGUAAGGACGCACUGAAGGGUGCUGUGGGAGGUGGAUAUCUGCAUGGCUGUAGUGUCACAACUGCACGUGCGAGUGGUCUCUGCACACAGGUGGGAAUAUUCAGAGCAUGGAAAGUGUCCUUUGUGUCCUGCAGCCAGGAAGACUUCUGGCUGUUCUAAUCUUAGCUCCUGCCUCUAAUUGCCAAGCGCCCAGUGGUAAAUCCCCAAACAGCCACGAGAUAAUCUGAGCAGCCAGCCAUCCUCGGUGUCCUCCAUCACCAUGGCCCACCCGUGUCCUUGCAGCAGCACGGUGACAGAUCCACCUCCUGCCCUCUAAUCCCACCCAAAGUGCUGAUGACGGGAGCGAGGGAGGUGCCGGCUCUCCAUUAAGCCCCUAAUCGUGGUGCCCACUGGGAUCAGGGCUGUUAGUGCUGGAAUUAGGGCUGCUAUUUUAGCAGCAAGUUUUCAUCCACUCCUGCUCCAUCCCUGGGCGCUCAGGGUGAUCUGCUCACUGCAGUGCUUCCUUCACUCACUCCUGCAAGAAAUUUCCUCCUCCAGCUGGGCCUGUCCCCAGGAGAUGGAUUGGGCACGCUGUGAUCAGUGCAUAAAGCCCAGCAUCAUUACUCAGAAUCCUCAACGCUGGAAAAGAUCUCUCAGAUCUCCGCUGCCCACAUCCCUCAGUGCCACAUCCCUGUGGUUCUUGAGCACCUUUGGGGAUGGUGACCCCACCACUCCCUGGCAGCUGUGCCACUGCAUCGCCGCUCUUUUGGAGAAGAAAUAUUUCCUGAUUCCCAACCUGAAUGUCCCCUGGUGCUCUAUUCAUUUAUCAGUGCUUGCAGUUCAAAGCAGCUGCAGCCCUACAAAAUAUUGAGCAGUUCUGUUUGCUUGACUUGUCCUCGUUUUGAAGAGCUGAAGAUCUGCUGUUCUUCACGGGACCUUGGACUGUUCUGUCAGCUGCUCUCUUUGUGAUGCACCUAAUAAGGCUUGGGAGCUCCUCAAUGCUGACAUGACAGGUAACAGCACAGCAGCAGGGCGAAUGAAGAGAGCUGAGUUUCAGGCUGUUCCUCACUGCUGUGUAUUGCACGCCCAAAUGGGGCUGCUGCAGCCUCAGUGUGCUCUGAAGGGAAGCCCUAAGGAGCUGCUGAAUGGAACCAAGUGUGUUUCCUAAGCUUAGCCUAAUCCUUUCUUAAGCUUUAUUAAUGUCAAGUUACAUUCAAGGCUGUUUAUUUUUAUUCCCUCUUAAGCUUUAUUCCUUACUCAUUUGAGAGAGAGGGUGUGUGUGUUCUGAAUGCGUGAAGGAAAGGUGCUGUUUUAACUUUGGGGUUCUGGGGAAUAAUGAGUGAUGCAGAGUGGAAUCAUCGCUGCUGAGCUGUGCCCAGGCCAGCUCCUCGCCUUUGGCACACGACCAGCUAAUGAUGCAAUGUGUUUGUAGGACUUCUGGUCCAUGUAAUUACAGUAAUGGAUUGGUUUUGUAGGUGGAGCUGAUCUCUGUAUACUGCACUCGUGUCUUUAGCUGUCUUGGGGAUGGGUCACCAGUGUCUGUUACAGCUGCUGGGCGCUGCGAUUUUAAAGCAUUGUGAAUGAAAGACUGAAGUGAUGGAAUUAUCUGCUUGGGUCCAAAGUGCCAGCCAGGCUCUGGCUGAAUGGGGACCAAAAAUUUGAGUUUCUUGAUGAACAACGUAUUGAAGUUGCCAAAUGUGAGGUGAGGCUGCCCAGGGAGGUGCUGGGGUCACUGCCUCUGGAGAACUGUGGGGAUGUGGCACUGAGGGAUGUGGUUAGUGGGGAUGGGUUGGGGUUGCACUUGGUGGUCUUAGAGGUCUUUUCCAACCAUAAUGAUUCUGUGGCUCAGUGCUUCACUCAUCUGUUAGAGAGCUUCUAUGCACAAGGCUUUACAUUCAUCCUCUGUGCUUCUUCAUCUUGCUUGAGCACGAGAUGCCCAGCGUCCUUGCUGCAAUGCUCAGGCUCCUUUCUCUCUGCCCAUAUCACAGCUGUAGUCCACGUUGGCUAAAGACUCACAGAUGGGUGGGGAGCAGCUGCCAGGGCUUCACUUCGAGGCCUCGGAAACCAUCCAAGGGAUCUGGAUGGUGAAGGGAGAUGAAGUUUCCAAGCCUCAGCCACAUUUGUUCAUUGGGUGCAAUACCAUCUCGUGGAGGUGGUUCAGGGGCAGCCCAGCCCUGAGCUGGCAGAAGGUGCUGCUCUGCCUUACAGCUUCUUUCUGUUUCCUUUCUUUUUUUUCCUUCUUUUUAUCAACGAUCAGUUUGGAUACCAUGAAUAAUUCUCAGCUGUGACUGCACUGUCAUCACAUGGGGAAUCAUAACCAAAACAUCUCCAACAUGAAUGCACUGUGCUCUCCCCUUCCCCAGAUACGCUUUGCAGACUGAGACCCACUAUUGUUCCAGGGCUCCCUUUGCUGCAGGUAUCUCAGCUCCUCUUUCUUUGCUCACAGGUAAAAAAGACACCGACUCAAACCUUUCAGUGCUGUCAUUUCAGGAAACAGCUCCACAACAACAACAAAUGGUUUUCGAAGGAAGGCAAGAGAUCCCACAGCUUCCAGGUGUUCACCCAAGUGAAGCUCAGCACAAUUUCUUUGUUGAUGCUGGAAGAAGAGCUUGGCGUGCCUGUGGCCCCACUGGCCCCUGCCUUGGAGUUGGUGGUGUGUUGGUUGGACCUCGAGGAGAAUCGAGCAGUGGUUGGGAAGGGCUCGUGCUGACAGGCUGUGCUGCAGCCAGGUUUGUGGCUGGCAUAGGUACAUCCAUGGUCGAGAAGUGGAACUAUCUCUGGGGAGGACUGACCAGUAGAAAUGGAGGAAGGAUGUAUUAAUUUUAGUCGUACAGCUCUUUGAAAAUGUGAUUAAUGGCAUUUGUUCACUAAAACACUCAUCUGGAGCUUCUGCAUUUUAAUUAAGGCUUUACCCAGUGAAACCAUUUGGUGGCAGGUCUGUUCUCUGACCAUGGGAUCCAUUGAGCGCACGGAGGAUGAAGACACAGAGGAGGGCUGAUGGCCACUGCUGGGAGAAGGUCUUGCCUUGCAAAGCCAGCUCUGUAUGGAAGAAAGCAGUGGGAUGAGAGAGGAACCCCCCAGAACACACAGCAUCGCAAUCCCUGCUUAUUUACAGCUCUACAAGGAGUUUCCACUGGAUUCCUCACCCAUGUACAGAAAAGAGGGGUAAAUUCCUCCUCAUGAAGUAUUUAUUAUUUUAGGUUGUGGUCACUACAAACUCUUUACCCAUAUUUUUUAAUGAGUUUUGACUCUCCUGAGUUGCAGUUCUGUAUUUUUCCCCUUGCACUGUGCUGGCUUUUCCUGUAACUUGGGCUACAUGUGAUUUAUUUAAUCUCUCUCCACAGAGAGCAGAGAAUUAGAUUAAAGAGACAAAUUAAUAAA